rnacentral:rRNA from 1 species
UACGUAGGCAGCAAGCGUUGUUCGGAGUUACUGGGCGUAAAGAGUAUGUAGGCGGUUGCGUAAGUUCGGGGUGAAAUCUCCCGGCUUAACUGGGAGGGUGCGCCGAAAACUGCGUGGCUUGAGUGCGGGAGAGGAGAGCGGAAUUCCUGGUGUAGCGGUGAAAUGCGUAGAUAUCAGGAGGAACACCGGCGGUGUAGACGGCUCUCUGGACCGUAACUGACGCUGAGAUACGAAAGCGUGGGUAGCAAACAGG